GGCCUUAUGGUCUAGUAGCAUGAUUCCUCGUUUGGGUCGAGGAGGUCCUGGGUUCAAUUCCCAGUGAGGCCC